rnacentral:lncRNA from 1 species
ACGCGAAGACGACGCCGGCUGCGCUGGGGGGCCGUAGGGAGGGAGGCUGCGGACCAGAGCGGGGAGGAGUUUGCGAGGGGAGGCGCUUGGGAGGACUCCCCCAGUUCUGUUAAGAGCUGGGCACAAAGAGCCCUUUGCACUCCAGCCGCAGGAGCGAGGAGGAGCCGAGCUAGAUGCACAUGGGCGUGGGGACUCCGGUACAACACCAACCCACAAGACCUGGGGCGUCCAGCGCAGCCUCAAACCCAGGGCAUCUCUGCACUCUCAUCGCGACGUCGCUCUGGAUGCUGUUUGCAUAUCCUUGGGGAGUCACUGCUUUGGCACAACAGUCCUGCGAGGUGCUGGAAUUCCGUCUGUUCUCAUCACACGGACAUGGCUGAUCGGUCUCAGUGGUACCUGGGGGCAAAGCAGGGAGCCGGGCGGUGGAGGCCAACAUUGUUACCAAGUUGGCUCUGUCUCAACACAGGGACUGAGCCUUCUGAGCCUCAAGAGUUCCUGCUGGUUCCCAGGUGGCAGAAGAGUGGAGAGAUUUGGGAAAGGUCACGACUAGCCUGCAAAGCAGCCUUUCAGAUAAGUAUCAUUUCACCAGCCUGCCUGCUCUCUGCUGGUGCGUGUGAGAAAGGGUCAGCUCUGGAAUUCCCAACGGGAGGGAGGAUGGCCGUCCUGUGA